rnacentral:rRNA from 1 species
CCUACGGGUGGCAGCAGUGAGGAAUAUUGGUCAAUGGGCGGGAGCCUGAACCAGCCAAGCCGCGUGAGGGAAGAAGGUACAGCGUAUCGUAAACCUCUUUUGUCAGGGAACAAAGGCGGGGACUAGUCCCCGUAUGAGUGUACCUUAAGAACAAGCAUCGGCUAACUCCGUGCCAGCAACCGCGGUAAUACGGAGGAUGCGAGCGUUAUCCGGAUUUAUUGGGUUUAAGGGGUGCGCAGGCGGCUUGUUAGGUCAGCGGGAAAAGCCCGGGGCUAAACCCCGGCGAGCCGUUGAAACUGGCGGGCUGGAGUUGGAGAGAGGUAGGCGGAAUGCGCGGUGUAGCGGUGAAAUGCUUAGAUAUCGCGCAGAACACCGAUUGCGAAGGCAGCGUACCGGCUCCACACUGACGCUGAGGCACGAAAGCGUGGGUAUCGAACAGGAUUAGAUACCCGAGUAGUC